rnacentral:rRNA from 1 species
CGGACGGGUGAGUAACACGUGAGCAACCUGCCUUUCAGAGGGGGACAACAGUUGGAAACGACUGCUAAUACCGCAUAAAAUAACGGAACCGCAUGAUUCUGUUAUCAAAGGAGAAAUCCGCUGAAAGAUGGGCUCGCGUCUGAUUAGAUAGUUGGUGAGGUAACGGCCCACCAAGUCGACGAUCAGUAGCCGGACUGAGAGGUUGAACGGCCACAUUGGGACUGAGACACGGCCCAGAUCCUACGGAAGGCAGCAG